GACGAACGCUGGCGGCGUGCUUAACACAUGCAAGUCGAACGGUGAAGCGCCUUCCUUUUUGGUGGGUGUGGAUGAGUGGCGAACGGGUGAGUAACACGUGAGUAACCUGCCCCCUUCUUCUGGAUAACCGCAUGAAAGUGUGGCUAAUACGGGAUAUUCUGGGUCUGUCGCAUGAUGGGUCUGGGAAAGAUAUUGUUUCGGUGGGGGAUGGGCUCGCGGCCUAUCAGCUUGUUGGUGGGGUGAUGGCCUACCAAGGCGGUGACGGGUAGCCGGCCUGAGAGGGUGGACGGUCACACUGGGAAGGAGAGACGGCCCAGACUCCUACGGGAGGCAGCAGUGGGGAAUAUUGCACAAUGGGCGGAAGCCUGAUGCAGCGACGCCGCGUGAGGGAUGGAGGCCUUCGGGUUGUGAACCUCUUUCGCCAGUGAAGCAGGCCUGCCUCGUUUGUGGGUGGGUUGACGGUAGCUGGAUAAGAAGCGCCGGCUAACUACGUG
rnacentral:rRNA from 1 species